rnacentral:rRNA from 1 species
CGAACGGUUCUUCGGAACUUAUUAGAGUGGCGGACGGGUGCGUAACGCGUGGGAAUCUACCUAGUAAUUGGGGACAACCUGGUGAAAACCAGGCUAAUACCGAAUACGCCCUACGGGGGAAAGAUGGCCUCUUCUUGAAAGCUAUCGCUAUUAGAUGAGCCCGCGUAAGAUUAGCUAGUUGGUGAGGUAAAGGCUCACCAAGGCGACGAUCUUUAGCUGGUCUGAGAGGAUGAUCAGCCACACUGGAACUGAGACACGGUCCAGACUCCUACGGGAGGCAGCAGUGGGGAAUAUUGGACAAUGGGCGCAAGCCUGAUCCAGCAAUACCGCGUGUGUGAAGAAGGCCCGAGGGUUGUAAAGCACUUUCAAUUGUGAAGAGGGGAUAGUUAGUUAAUACCUGUCUAUCCUGACGUUAACUUUAGAAGAAGCACCGGCUAAUUCAGUGCCAGCAGCCGCGGUAAUACUGAAGGUGCAAGCGUUAAUCGGAAUUACUGGGCGUAAAGCGCGCGUAGGCGGUUAUUUAAGUCAGAUGUGAAAGCCCCGGGCUCAACCUGGGAACUGCAUUUGAAACUGGGUAACUAGAGUAUGUUAGAGGAAAGUGGAAUUCAGAGUGUAGCGGUGAAAUGCGUAGAUAUUCUGAGGAACACCAAUGGCGAAGGCAACUUUCUGGGACAAUACUGACGCUGAGGUGCGAAAGCGUGGGGAGCAAACGGGAUUAGAUACCCCGGUAGUCCACGCCGUAAACGAUGAGAACUAGUUGUCGGGAGGGUU